rnacentral:rRNA from 1 species
CAGUAGCCACGGUAAUACGAAGGGUGCAAGCGUUACUCGGAAUUACUGGGCGUAAAGCGUGCGUAGGUGGUGGUUUAAGUCCGUUGUGAAAGCCCUGGGCUCAACCUGGGAAUUGCAGUGGAUACUGGGUCACUAGAGUGUGGUAGAGGAUAGUGGAAUUUCCGGUGUAGCAGUGAAAUGCGUAGAGAUCGGAAGGAACAUCUGUGGCGAAGGCGACUAUCUGGGCCAACACUGACACUGAGGCACGAAAGCGUGGGGAGCAAACAGGAUUAGAUACCCGAGUAGUCCCUGUCCCUUAUAC